UGAGGAAUAUUGGUCAAUGGGCGGGAGCCUGAACCAGCCAAGCCGCGUGAGGGAAGAAGGCCCUAUGGGUCGUAAACCUCUUUUGUCAGGGAACAAAAGCGAGUAUGUAUACUGGUCUGAGUGUACCUGAAGAAAAACGCAUCGGCUAACUCCGUGCCAGCAGCCGCGGUAAUACGGAGGAUGCGAGCGUUAUCCGGAUUUAUUGGGUUUAAAGGGUGCGUAGGCGGCGGUGCAAGUCAGCGGUAAAAGCCCGGGGCUCAACCCCGGCGAGCCGUUGAAACUGCAGUGCUAGAGAAGGCGAGAGGUACGCGGAAUGCGCAGUAUAGCGGUGAAAUGCUUAGAUAUUGCGCAGAACUCCGAUUGCGAAGGCAGCGUACUGGCGCCUGACUGACGCUGAGGCACGAAAGCGUGGGGAUCGAACAGGAUUAGAUACC
rnacentral:rRNA from 1 species